GCCUGGGUGCUCAGUCGGUUGAGCGUCCGACUUCGACUCAGGUCAUGAUCUCACAGUUUGUGGGUUCGAGCCCCGCAUCGGGCU
rnacentral:tRNA from 1 species